rnacentral:rRNA from 1 species
AGUGAACGCUGGCGGUAGGCCUAACACAUGCAAGUCGAACGGCAGCACAGUAAGAGCUUGCUCUUACGGGUGGCGAGUGGCGGACGGGUGAGGAAUACAUCGGAAUCUACUUUUUCGUGGGGAUAACGUAGGGAAACUUACGCUAAUACCGCAUACGACCUACGGGUGAAAGCAGGGGAUCUUCGGACCUUGCGCGAUUGAAUGAGCCGAUGUCGGAUUAGCUAGUUGGCGGGGUAAAGGCCCACCAAGGCGACGAUCCGUAGCUGGUCUGAGAGGAUGAUCAGCCACACUGGAACUGAGACACGGUCCAGACUCCUACGGGAGGCAGCAGUGGGGAAUAUUGGACAAUGGGCGCAAGCCUGAUCCAGCCAUACCGCGUGGGUGAAGAAGGCCUUCGGGUUGUAAAGCCCUUUUGUCGGGAAAGAAAAGCAGCAGGUUAAUACCCCGCUGUUCUGACGGUACCCAAAGAAUAAGCACCGGCUAACUUCGUG